UACGUAGGCAGCGAGCGUUGUUCGGAGUUAUUGGGCGUAAAGCGCGUGUAGGCGGCUUUGCAAGUCGGGUGUGAAAGCCCUCAGCUCAACUGAGGAAGUGCGCCCGAAACUGCAGAGCUUGAGUGCCGGAGAGGGUGGCGGAAUUCCCCAAGUAGAGGUGAAAUUCGUAGAUAUGGGGAGGAACACCGGUGGCGAAGGCGGCCACCUGGACGGUAACUGACGCUGAGACGCGAAAGCGUGGGGAGCAAACAGG
rnacentral:rRNA from 1 species